rnacentral:ncRNA from 2 species
GAUAACUACUAGGGGUGCCCUGUUUUGGGCUGAGAGAAAAACGCUACGUUUUUUAACCCUUCGGACCUGAUCUGGAUUAUACCAGCGUAGGAAAGUAGAGGAGAAGCAGU